AUGCGACCCCCCCCCCGGGGGGGAGGAGGUCUCCCAUCCCCUUUCCUCCCUGCAGAUGCCUUUGACCAGCUUCCAAGGUGGCUCCAGUGGGGAGAGGAGGUUGUACGUGGCAGGCUUUUUUCUCACCAGUAACGCUUGACAUUGAUCCCUUUCUUAGUAUUAUGAACUUUUAUACGUAACGCACUUCUAGUAUGGAGGCUGUUGUCUGUAUUGGAGAGUGAAUAAUCUGAGCAAUCCUUGCGGCUUGCACUUUUGUGGAGGUCUCGAUUGUUUUUGGGAGGAACCCUGGGAAGGGGCAAAAUGGAUAGAGGUGAGCAAACACGCACAUGCAUGCCAUUAUCUUGAAAAAGAGUUGGAAUGGCCGGUUCUAAACAGCUGCUCUUGUUUUGAUCAGAGCCCAUGUUGCAAAGCGUACUUAACAUGCCCUCCUUAUGGCACUUUUCGCCUUCAUAUGGUCCAGAUCUUCCUUUGGCCAGCGUGCCUAAGAGACCAACGCUGUCAAAAUCAUCUGUUUGCCAUUGCGAGGAUCAUCGCUGAGAGAUAAUUUCCAGUGUGAAGGUUCUGGCUAUGGAAGAGAUCGUAGGAACGGUCCGCAUCAGAGGUCCCUGAGAAGAGUCUCAGACCAAGGCCACGUCUCUUGUCUGCAGCUGGGGUUGACUGCUCCAGGUCCCCGAAGACAACGAACGUGCACUUGAUAUCCCAGAGCGUUCGUCAGAGAAACGACGAGCAUCAGUGAUCGACGACGUGAUCUCUGCUGGAGAUGGGGAGCGGCAGACCGAUUCACGCAAAGGAGAUGCUGGUAGUCCCGUCAUUCGUGAGGCCAACGCCAGGAAGGAGCUGCGUGGAACCGUAAGCGGGGCGCUAGCUGUGCCGAGAAGGAGAAACCCGGAGUCUAAAUGAGGGUCCCACGGGUCAAAUCGCACGUGAACAGGGCCCGCUUCAGGACCCACCGCCCUCCUGAAGGGCACAAAGCCCUCCCCACUCAUGGUCUGCACGCUGCCGCCGCCCCUCCUUUUUGGAAUAUCGGCGACAGAGGCCUUUCGCCACUCCUGGAAAAUGGGCUGGGGCUGGGGCUGGGCCUGCCGCGGCAUUUUGUGGAAUGCCGCAAUCCAAUCCGGCUCUUCACUUUCGUAGCUCUGGAUAUGCGCCUGUGGGGAGACAUGACACUCAACAUGGCUGAAGGGCAAGGCCCCUCUCCGGAUCGGACACUACCAACAUGGCGAGCACCGAAAGCGCGUUACUUCUCCGCGCCGCAGGCGCCGCAGGCUUCUCAUGCCCAGCAUGGCUGCCUGAAGGCAACGUUAGGCUUCUUGCUGCCCUUCCUGCCUCUCCUGCCAUGGCCGCCCGAGGGAAGGGAAGGGAAGGGAAGUGGGGCCGGUGGGGCGGGAAGGGCUGCUCCUCCCCAGUCUGCGAAGAUGGGGGAGGGGGGGUUCCACUGCCCCCCGCAUCUCUCGCUCCCCCCCAACCCCCAAGCAGGGAGCCCCGCCCCCUCCAUGGAAGUCCGGGCAGAUAUGCCGCCUCCAGCGGAGAGGCCCCGGGAGGCCAGGCGGGCCUUGCCGGAGAAGCCCUUCUCUCACAUGUAUGUGCAAAGUGCCAUGGCUUGUGAGCUUGCCUUGGAUGGGGGCGGAGAUCCUCCAUUCCUCCCCCCCGCACCCCGCAACAGGAAUCUGGCGUGCGGCUCGGCUUUCAUGGGCGCAGAGUGAAUACCCUGGAAAUGGGGGAAAUGGAUAGAGAUGAGCAAACACGCACAUGCCUGUCAUUAUCUGGACGGUGAGUUAUCUGGACAGUAUCAGCAUUUUGGACAGAUUUUGCGUGCCUUCCCCAGACUCUCCUUCCAGGGAUCCGGCAGAUGCGCUGACGCACUGGGCAGGUUGGCAGAAUGCUUCCAAGUUCACAGUGGGCACUUUUGACCCUAACCUUAACCCACCCAGUUCACCACUGGUUAGACAAAUCGCUCCCUACACACAGGCUGUACGUACAGCUCACACUUCACUGUUGUGUUUUUUUAUGUAAGAGCAUUAAAGCAUGGUCCAGCCCUUAUUUCCACCUCCCACCUGUUUCUAAUAUUGGGGACAGCGCUCUUCCACCCAAUAUAUGCAGGGCUUUCCGGCUACUUCAGAGAAAUGGGCUGGGGUUGGGAAGCCAGGGGACCUUCUGGAAUCCCACAUUACAGUGUGCAGAACUGGAACUACAGCUCUACAUUUUUCCAGAUCAAUAUAAGCGGCUCUCUCGCGUCAUGGCACUACCAAUAUGGCUGACAGUUAAAUUCACUACUCUGCGUCUGACGCUUCCAACAUGGCAUAUCCCCAGACUUUUCGUCACUUCCCUCCCGCCCCGGAAGUCCUGGUGUUCCUUGACACAACUGGAAUGGCUGCCUGAGGAAGACGCGCAGCUUUUUCCUGCCUGCCCGCUCUUUGGAAGCGGGGUCCCCCCUGCCUCUCCUGAUAUGGCCGCGUGGAGGAUAAGGAGGGGCGGAAUUGCUGGGUGGGAAGAAGAACGGCUUCUCCCCUUCUCUUGUCGCUAAAGGCAGGCAGGCUUGCUGUACUCCCCUUGCAUCGCAACCCCCUCCAGGAGGCUCUUCACUGUCUGCCAAAGGAGUUCAGGCUCUUCCGAGGAAACGACACCCGCUGCAAGCGGAGAAAUCCCAGGAAAGCCCGGCGGGGCACUGCUGGAGCAGCUUCCUUCUUGCGUGUUCUUGCAACACAGGAGGAAUUUUGGCUGCUUGCCGCUGAUGGGGAGGGGCUCCUUGCUUACCUGCCCACCCCCGCCGCACAGUGAACAGAACAUAAAGUUGGUCUUUAAUGGUGCAAUUGGGAUGUCCUUUGAAAUGGUACAGCGGCAUUUCCGUAUCAGAUUUAGCAGGGAGCAAGUCCCCUCUGCACUCAAUAGGGUUUGCUUCCUAGCUGGCAUGCACAGGAUCAAAGCACAUUUAACUGUAGGGUACAGUAGUACCCUCAUGAUUGAUUGGCCUUGGCAGCCAAAAAAUUGGUGUGAAAUUAAGUACUCUAUCAAAGAUGUCUCCUGAAUGUUUUUCUGAUACUGCAGAAGGGCCAGUGCUAGGAUUAGUUGUGCUUGAAAUACUAGUGUUUGUACUAGCACUGGACCAGUAUUUGUUGUGGUUGUAAUCUGUGCUGGUAGGAACAGGACAGUCAUACCCAUGGGAAUACUGGCAUAAUAAUUGUGGUGUUUAGGUAUGUCUCUAUAAAAGGUCUGUUGCUGUGAGAAGAGGCUUAUAUAAGCCAGGAAGUAGGUGUGUACACAUGCAGUAAGGUGUUGUUUUAACUUGUUUGGUCUUAAAUAAAUACCAAUAUUUGGAGUGGAGGCUUCAGGUAGUCAUGGACAGUAUGGAGGUGUAGGACCUGCUGAACAUGGGAGAUGGGUCUAUGGAAGAACAAAAUAAAGAGGAGGCAAUCUCUCUGGUACAGAGCGGUUCUGCCUUUCAUACUGCAGAUGGUUUGAUUCAGGAUCCUAGGUUCCAUGCAGCCUCCCCUGAUCCUUCAGACUGCCCCAUCUUCUCCAUUCCCCUUUGAUUCUAAUCUCCCACGUUUGCCUUAGUCCCUUCCCUUACUGCCUGACCACCCUACCUCCCAUCAACCCUUUGUCCUGUCUCUUUUUAGUCGAGCUACGUCACAGAGGGAUAGUGAUGCAUGAUAGCAAAGGUUUACAUGGUGCAUCUAUGAGGCAGACAGUCAAAUCUGAGGCAACCAGUAUGAAUGCUUUGUAGUGGAUUCUUUGAUGUAGUCUCAGAAGGAAUCAUUUAAAUAUAGACCAACGUUGCAACUUCAAAAUACAGCAGGACCCCCAUAUCUGUGAGAAUAAGCUCCAAGAAACCAUGGCUGAUAUAAAACACUAUACAUUGUACAUACGCAUUUCUUUUUCCCGAUUUCAUGGAUAGAUUAAUUCCUAUCAUACAUCUUAGCAACCUUAGCAUAUGAUUUUUUUUCUUUUUCCCUACUAAAUAGAGAAUUUUCAUUUAAAGGAAGCACUUCAUGACAUCUCUUUUGGAUCACAGUCAACCACAGUAAAGUGAAAAAGCUGUAACAGAACCAGUAGAUACAGGAUUCUAUAGGUACAAGACAACCAUAUUUAACUAAACUGUUGUUCAAAUUGAAGGAAGCAAUAGGUGAAAUUUAAAGUUCAAUUAACCUUGAAUUAAAAAGGGUUUCAUGGUUAAUUUAGGGAUUUUUAACUUAUGUACUAUACCAGUAAAUCAUUUGUGUUUGUUUAUUGUAUCUUCUAAAACCUCUACUGAUCGUUCAUGGCAUCUUUAAAUAUCCUUGUAUAGAACAUCAAUGGAAUAAAAAAACUCAAUCCAGAGGGAAUAAAUGUUGGCUUUAUUUUAAAAAUUUCAUCAGGAUGUUUAUUUUGUGCAAGGAACUCUUAAGGUUGAUGAGGGUUACAUAGCCAGUGUCAAAGGUUGUGGAUCCUGGGACCUUCAUAUUGACCCUAUGGAGAAGAGCACCGGGCAGUGGUAGGCAUCUUAUUUCAAUCUACAAAUAGAUUUGGUCUUGGAGGCAAUUCCGAGCAACUUAUUGGUUAUGGACUUCUCUAUUGAUGUCACCAUAUCGGAUGUUGGUUGGGGGAGAGUGGUCAGUUUUUUUAGCAGUUUGUUAUGCUCCAGUUAGAUCAGUGGUUCCCAAACUUUUCUAUGCUGUGAACCCCCAGAAAUUCUGAAGAUGAAUCUGUCAAAUUUCUAAUUUUUGAACCAUAAACUGAACCACACAGAGUACUAUGGGUGAACAAAUUGAACUCAAAAAAUAAGCUUUUGACUCAGUGCAUGAAAUUCAAAUAUAAUUUGAGCAAUUACAAAAACAAAAAAGUAAAUUCCUGCUUCAAAUUCACAAUUUUGUCAAAAUGUGAAAUGUACUUGUUGAUUCCAAUCUGCAAGUCUGCCUGUGCAUUCAGGCAAUUCCUAGAUUUUGUCUUUAUUUGUCUUGAUUGAGAAAAGAGAACAGAAUCCAAAUGCAAAUAAAAUAAUAAAUAAUUUUAUUACUGGGAUGAUUUUUGGCAGAAAAUGUGAUUUGCCAAUUUUGAGAAUUGUGACACAGCCUUCCUCUUUGUCACACCCCCUGAAAUGCUACCAUGCACCCCCUAGGGUUAGGGUUCUCUCUCUCUUCAGUACCUGUAGCUACUUUAUUGUUACUGUAUUAGUAUCAUUAUUACAAUGCUCCAUUGUGUUUAAGAUGUUUUAAUGAAUAUGGAAGUGUUUCUUAAGGGUUUUAUAUGCAUAGAAAAGUGAAAUAUAUACAUAUACUACAACAUAUUUUUGGCUUACUCCUGUGAUCUGACUUACAAAUUCAACUUAAGGGCAGUCUUAGGAAUGGGACUUAUCCAUAACCCAGGGACUAACUGUAUAUGUUGGUUACUGGUAUAUACCAAAUAACUUAUCAGUCUAUGCUUUAGACAUGGCAACCAAACUUUUCACUGUGUGGAUCGUAAGAAGCUAUUGUCCUGAUGAGUAGUCUUUACAGACAAGCAGCAGCAGACAACUGAAGCAACUCCUGAUGAAAGUGAAAGAAGAUAGUGUAAAACUAGGACUGCAACUAUUAAUCAAACCAAAAUCAUGACUACAGAAGUACACUAAUGUCCACAAUUAAAAAAUUGAAAUUGGGAAAGCUUUCAUAUACCUUGGCUUAGUCAACAAUUCAAAAAGAAACUGCAGCCAAGAAAUUAGCAGAAGACUGAGACUUGGAUGGAUAGCAAUGAAGGAACUUAGGAAGAUCAUCAAGUGUAAGUAUGUUCCACUGGAGACAAAGGCCAAGAUCAUCCACACUAUUAUACUCCCUCUUACUGUAUGGCUGUGAAACCUAGACAGUGAAGAAAGCUGACAGAAGAAAAUGGAUGCUGGAAGUGAGCUUUGGAAAUACCCUAAACCAGGGGUCAGCAACCUGUGGCUCUAGAGCUGCAUGUGGCUCUUGAAUCCCUCUGCUGCGGCUCCGUCGCUCAAAAUAUGUGUCACAGCCUCCGACCUGCGACCCACGCCAGCACAGCCGCCAAUCUGCUAUGCAUGCUGGUUUAUUGAGCUGCUCACAAUUUACUGAACUUUUUCCCCUGGUAGGCCUCACAGGCAACAGCUUACUAUCCUGUGUGAAGAUGGUGACAUCUUACAGCCCUGAUGUGCAGACACUGUGUGCUGAGGUUCAGGAGCAAAAAUCGCAUUGACUGGGUUGACAGCUGACUGCACCCUUCAGUACACGUGAUAAAAGGAUGACGGCACACAUA